UACGUAGGGUGCAAGCGUUAAUCGGAAUUACUGGGCGUAAAGCGUGCGCAGGCGGUUUUGUAAGUCUGUCGUGAAAUCCCCGGGCUUAACCUGGGAAUGGCGAUGGAGACUGCAAGGCUAGAAUCUGGCAGAGGGGGGUGGAAUUCCACGUGUAGCAGUGAAAUGCGUAGAGAUGUGGAGGAACACCGAUGGCGAAGGCAGCCCCCUGGGCUGAGAUUGACGCUCAGGCACGAAAGCGUGGGGAGCAAACAGG
rnacentral:rRNA from 1 species